rnacentral:rRNA from 1 species
ACUCCAAUACCAUUCCGAACUUGGCUGUUAAAUGCUGUAGCGACGAUGAUACUUAAGAGGACACUCUUUGGGAAAGUAGUUCAAUAUCAGGGUUAUAUGAAAUAAAUUAAAUA